rnacentral:hammerhead_ribozyme from 1 species
GCACCGCUGACGAGUCCCAAAUAGGACGAAACAGCUGUCCAGUAC